GUGCUCACCUUGGCAGCACUUAUUCUAAAACUGGAAUAAUACAGAGAAUGUUAGCAUGGCACUUGUGCAAGGACGACAAAGUAGUGAAGCAGUCCACAAAAAA
ensembl:snRNA U6 U6 spliceosomal RNA